rnacentral:lncRNA from 1 species
GCUUUUUUUGCCUCACCAAUUAAAAAACACCACCCACUUAUCUCAUCUUUUUAACGUUGUUCUAAACAUUGUUCGCGUUUCUUGUGCCUAUGUUUCACAAAUCUUCCUCGUAUUUAUUUUAUUUAUAAAAUAUUUCAUAUUUUUUUAUCCACGGACAGUGGAUCAAUGGAUCUAGGUACACCAGACCAAGGACAAAAGCAGUUGACCCAUCAAGUCCUUUCCAAAUUUCUCAUAUCGUACAAUUAUUGAUCCUUAAAAAAAGAAACAUCAUUUUCCCAAAGCAAUGAUGUGUGGCCACGCACGAGUUUCCGUAGGGAAACAACUAUUCGCCUCGUGGAGCUCGAGCUCGAGAGUAUUCCUUCCACCGUGCGAUGGGACAUGGGCUUUUCCGAGAGAUUCCUCACCGGUGCCACGAAUCCAAAAUGGCACGGGGCCUCCCUAGGUUCACCGAAUGGAACGCACAUCUUUCGUUAGUUGCGAGGCCAAAAUACCCCAUUGGAAUCAUGUGAAAGUUUCCAAUAGUCUACAUCAACGACAAGAUGUCAAGUUGUCAAUUUAAGCUGGUACCAGUGGUCCGUAGCCUGGUCUACAGGGCCGAGACCGGUCCUGCGACCUUAUCGACAGGGCGGUGGUGCGAUCACACACCGAACAUUGCACCCAUCGCUGGCAUGAAGGACAAAAGCACUUGAACCCACUAAGUCGGUGCUGUGAGGAACACUGACGCGGUUCAAUAUGGAACCUACUUCUCCGGCCACUAAUGGGAUUAGAUUCUUAAUUUUAUCACAUGGAGAUUAGCUUUUGCAAUGUCUUUAUUCUCCUUAAAUAUGCAUCUAUAGUUAAAUCUAGCUAAAAGAAAUUCUAAGAUACCAUGAUCAUGAAGUGUCAUGCAAAGUUUUGUGGGUCAUGUUUAAGGUAAUAUUUGUUCUCUCAUGAGAUGAUCGGCAAGAGUAGUCCUCAUGUUUGAAAAUUAUAGAACUACUUUUCAAUGAUUUUAUUUUGUAUGGACAUAUAAAUUGAAGAUCAGGUUGGAAAUGUUUGAUAACUCUUCAACAAAUAUAUCAUCUACUCUUAGAAGAAAUGCAACAAAAGCUAGCUAGAUUUAGACUAUGAAGAUGAUUUACCAUACUGAUUAAAGUAAUAAUUAUUUAAUUAUCAUAUAUUUAUUUUUUUAGAUAUUUUUAAUUUAUUAGAUACCAAAUUAUCCUUAAUUGCUGACUUACAAAUUUUUAAAGGGAUGUUUUACGGCGCUUCUUUAUUAUAUUUUAUCAUAAAAAAUAUUUUAGAUAUUACACAUUAUCAUUUUUAUAUAUUUUAUUUUUUAAAAAAAUAAUAUUUUAUUAUUAUUUUUUUAUCCUUUCUUUCUUUUUCCUCAUGGCUCCGCGACCUCUCUCUGCUCACGGUGUCUCCGCGCCCACCCUCGCGCCACCCAUGACUUCUGCUCGUCGCUUCUCCGCACAGCCCUCUAAUCAUCUGCGGCUCAUUCGGCCCCCCACUAGCCCAUGAUUCCCCUAGUCCACCUGAUGUCUACAGCUCCUCCUUCGCCCAAGGCCCCUCCACCUGAUGCCCAUGGCUCCUCUACCUUCGAUCCACAACUCUCCACCCGAUAAGUGACAUAUUUUUAUAUUUAUUGUAGAUAUUUUUGAUAAUUUAUGGUGCUAACAGAUUUUUAAAAAUCUAAUUUUAUGAAUAAAUUAAUUUUUUUAGAAAAAAUAAAUAAUUUAAAAAAAUAUAAAAUUAGAACAUAUUUAUAAAAAAUAGAUAUUAAUCUAAUUGAGUAAUUUAAGUACCAAAAUAAUAAAAAAAAUUAAAAAAAUUUAAUGUAUAUAUUUUUUUUAAUUUUUCAGACAAAAAAUAAAGUAAAAAUCAAGCCAAAAUAUCCAAAAAAAAUAAUUUUUAUAGCUUUCGAUGCACGGUGGAUCGGCUGCUCGGUUCACAGAAUUAGGGCACGAUCCAUUGAAAAUAUUUCACGAUCCACAGGUGCGGUCUACAACGGAAGGAAGGCUUUUUGUGCAAUCCGAUGGUCCACAUUCCUCCCGACCCAGAUCGAACGACUGACAGCAUUUUCGAGUGUAAUAAGGAUUCCUGGAUGUGAUUUGACAACUCAGAUUUCAUCCAUCGCACGAUCUAAUGGCUGAAGACGCUCUCGACUUUCAAUAGGAGAUCAAAGGCACGAUCUAAUGGUCCAGAUCUCAUCUGAAGCACGAUCGGAUGGUCAGAAUCGCAUCCGAACGUAAUAAGGAGAAAGAAACUAUUUUUUGGGCUAAUCUGGGUGGUCCAAAGAUGAUCCGACGGUCAAAAAAAAUUUUAAGGAUUUUAUAUAAUUUCUAAAGAUUUUAGGACUCCUUUUCCUAUCAAAAAAAUAUAAAAAAUUUAUCUAUAAAUAGGAUGUCCGGGAAUAAGCCUUGGGAGCAAAAAAAUUGAGUGAAAAAUUAGAAAAAAAAUAAAAAAUAUUAAAACUUUAGGGACCCAAGGAGAAGAAGAAGAAAAGUCGGUUCGCUCUGCAGAGUACGAUGAAAGAAGGAGAGAUCAUCAACCAUCUUUUCGAUGAGGCUGGGUUGUUCAAUUUCAGAUCUUUGUUAUAGUUUUAUUUUUAUUUUAUUUUAUUAUUUUUUUAAAAUUUUUUAUACUUGAAUUUUAAUUUUAAUUAAUAUNNNNNNNNNNNNNNNNNNNNNNNNNNNNNNNNNNNNNNNNNNNNNNNNNNNNNNNNNNNNNNNNNNNNNNNNNNNNNNNNNNNNNNNNNNNNNNNNNNNNNNNNNNNNNNNNNNNNNNNNNNNNNNNNNNNNNNNNNNNNNNNNNNNNNNNNNNNNNNNNNNNNNNNNNNNNNNNNNNNNNNNNNNNNNNNNNNNNNNNNNNNNNNNNNNNNNNNNNNNNNNNNNNNNNNNNNNNNNNNNNNNNNNNNNNNNNNNNNNNNNNNNNNNNNNNNNNNNNNNNNNNNNNNNNNNNNNNNNNNNNNNNNNNNNNNNNNNNNNNNNNNNNNNNNNNNNNNNNNNNNNNNNNNNNNNNNNNNNNNNNNNNNNNNNNNNNNNNNNNNNNNNNNNNNNNAAAAUUUAUUUUCUUACAUUUUAAAUUUUUAUCUUUUAUUUUUUUAUAAGUAGAUGCUAGGAUCUAGUUAGUAGAUCUUAGUACCAAUUUAUUUUAUGCACUUUAAAUUUUUAUUAUUUAUUUUUAUUGCAAGUAGAUGCUAGGAUCUAGUUAGUAGAUUUUAAUAAUCGAUUUAUUUUUUAUGCUUUUAAUUUUUAUUUUUUGACUUAAAAUUACUUUUUAAAAAUUUUAUUUUCUUCUAAAAUCAAAGAUUUUAAAUCAAAAUCUUGCCUUCUCCGUGGAUUCGACCCGACUCGCUACUUUCUAUAUAUUUUUAAUUUUUAUUAAUAUCAAAAUUAGAUUGAUAAUCACGAUGUCCUAACGAUAACAUCAUGAUCGUAUCAAUUUUUGAUGCUGUUGUCGGAGAAAAAGAAAAAAUUCAGAAAAAAAAAGAGAUAGAAAGCUUCCAAUUUUGUUUGGUGAGAUCAAUCCUAAUCCUAACCCUAACAAUUUUUUAGUAUUAAUUAUUAUUUUUUUUUCAAAUUAACCUAAAAUUCACCCACAUAAACCUAAUAAAAAUUGCAUAAUAAGACUAGAAAUUUAAUUAUUUAGAAGCAUUCAUUAUCUUAGAUUUUCUUUUGGUGAUUGCUGGAGAAAAGGUAAGCUUUCAAGUUUGAUUAAUUUUAUGCAUCUAAUUUAGUUGCAUAGAAUUUCUUGUUUGAAAUUGGUUGUGCAUAUUCAUCUCAAAUCAAUUAAAGGGCAACACUCAUAACAAGAUAAAGUGGGGAUCUCGUCACCCUUCCUUAAGCCCAAAAAUAACCAACCAGCAUCCCGCAUUAACCCUAGCCUAAUUAAAAUUUAGUAGACAUUGGCCCUUAGGAUCAAUUGAGUUUAGUUUGAGUAUUGUGGUGAAGUCAAGUGCAAAGUAAGUUUGGACUCAUCCCUGAAACUGAUGUCUAAGGUAAGAGGUUACAAAGGCUUAGCCUAAGUGGACUCAUAGUUAUUUAAUUAGUUCCGUUAGCUUACCUGGCCAAUCUAAUUGGUAUCUAAGGCAAGCAACAGAGGGACCCCCACGACCCCACCUCUUACCUGGCUAGUUGAAGGAAGUGCGAACAUACCUAAUUUGCAUCUAAGCUAAGCCACUCUGUAUCAAACUGUUAGGUCUAAGAAACUCAUAGGUGUCUAGGUUUAAUUAUCUGCUAACUUGAUUACAAUUAACACUCAACCACAACUAAUUCUUCUCACCUUUCGUCUUUAGGUCUAAAGCUUUCUUAAGGAUCUCACCUUUAGAACUUCUCUCUUUCUUUCUCUUCUUUUUUUCUUUCUCCCUCUUCUUAAAAAAUAAAAUUUAAAAAAAAAUUGAACCACACACAUUAGGGUUUGCACUGAUACAUGCACGGUAUAAUUUUUUUAUCUUGAUCUAGUUGAAUCUAAUCCUGAAAUUGAACGACCGAUCCAUGUUACACCUAAAAAUUAAAUGGCUAAAAAUUCUGAGAACUACUUAGACAGAUGAAGGAAUAUUUUAUUUCUUUCACCUAUAACCCAUAAAUAUUUUCAUCAUUCUAUGGAAUUAAAUAUUCUGGUUCUAGUCUUAAGGUCGAUUUGAAUCUGAUAGCCUAAAAAUUAGAUAAAGUCGAUCUUCUUAUAGAUAAAUACCUAACCUUAGAUCUACAAUCUCUUAUGCAAUACACAUCAUCUCCCAAUUAUCAGGAGAUUUGUUAUAUCUGUGCUAGCCCAACCCAUCAUGUAAGUGAAUAUCCUAUAGCUGUACAAUUUUCACCUUUAAUUCAAGAACAAGUUCAAGCUACUCAAGGUUACUCCAAUUCUGUCAAUGAUCCAUUCAUAAAUGUAUAUAAUCAAGAUUGAAGGAACCACCUUAAUUUUUUUUGGAGACCCCAACAGACUUAGGCUCAGACCCAAAUUUUUUCUAUGCAAAACUUUCAAAAUUGGCCAUAAUACCAAAACUAUGUCUAUAAUAGAGGUCAACCUGGUCAGUCUAUCCAACCAUCCUAUUACAAUCAGCCUUCAUACCCACCUCCUCAACAGACCAAUCUAGCCGAUGAUAGAUUUAGCCAACUUCAACAAAUGAUCAUGACCCAACAGCAAUCUCUCGCCAGGCUAGAAGUACAAAUAAGUCAAUUAGCUGAAUCUUCUAUGAAGAAAGAACUAGAUCAAUUAUUAAGCCAACUAAUAUCGACUUUCAAAAAUGAUCCAUUCAUCCACCAACCAUCUGGACCUAGUCAUCAAUCUAAUAUCCCACCUAAGAAUAUUCAAUUUGAAAAUGAUAAAGUAAUCUCUAAGUUUAGAAGUAAUAAGAUUCUUAAGGAUCCAUACCAAGACCAAAUGAAAGAGACUAGUACUGAUGCUAGCCAAAAUGAGACUUUGGAAGAAGAAGUUAGUACUGAGACUAACCCAAUAGAAGAACCUGAGUCGAAAAUUAUUACUGAUCUAAGUGAUAAAGAGAAGAGAGCGGAGGAGUUAUCUGAGAUAUAUAAACCAAGAAUCUCAUUUUUUUCAGCCUUAAAGGCCAGUUCUUCCACUUUAGAAUAACCACCGCCUCCAGAACUGAAAUCAUCUUUGAUUACACCUGAGUAUACAUGUUUAAAAUCAAGUGAUACCCUUUCAGUACUUAUUACUUCAAACUCAACUCCUAAUCCAAAAACUUAAUUCAUAAGCAUUUUAGAAGAACAAAAAAGAGAAAUUCUUAAUAAACAAGGGCCUUUGAAUAGGUUUAUGAAUUAUCUUACUACAAUUAAGAAUAGAGAUGUACAAUACGUUCUCAAGAUUGGCAACAAAAUAUUAAAAUUUAUUAUAGACCAUCUUUCUAAGAUAGACAAUUUAAAAUUAUUGAAAUUUAUCAAUUUAAUAUUUGAUACGGGGUAGGUAAAAGAAUCGACAUAAUCUGGCUGAAGACGAUAAACUUAGCACUUUCUGAGAGACAAUCCAGUUUCUAGUUUUUACUUUCUUUUGUAAUUUUUUUAAGAUAAUCGAGUCUUACUUUGUGUCUUUUGUAGGGAUCUGAAGAUAAUUUUGGCUAAGUUGGGGGGAGAAUCAAUUUUAAAAAGAUUUUUAGAUCAGAUGACAUCUCUCCUUUUCUUUCUCUUUACAUGCACCCUUCAUUUUUUCUAUUUUAUUGAGGACAAUGUCGAUUAAGUUGGAGAGGAAGAAUAAUAAAAAUUUUUAAAUUUUUAAAGUCUUCAAGAAAGUUAGUAUUUAGUAUUUAAGCAUCCGAUUACACUUAAGAAUCGAGUUAAACUAUGUAUUUUUAAAAGAAAAUUGAUAUACAGAUUAGAGAGUUUGUGAGAUAUUGAGGGAUCAAGUAUUAAGAAAACUCGAUAAAGAGUUAAGUUUAGAACUUAAACAGUUUUCUUUGAGUAUUUCUAAAUUUUUCUACCAGCAUCAAAGAAGAGUUAUCUUUUUAUGGGCUUGUGUAGGGUAACUAUAUAUUUCUUCAUAUAUAAAAAUUAAAAAAAAAAUUAAGUACUUCAUACUGAGUAACCGGACCUCUUUGCCAAAGCAAGCAUUGAGUUUCAUAUCAAAAGAUAUGAAGAGCAAAGAAGCUUUGUUGUAAAACUAGUAUUAACUCGUAGCCUGUUUGAUUCGAGCAAGUAGGUCCUAGGGGUAUUCUAUACCUAGUACCCUAAAGCCGUCUAGUUUGGGAGUCAUUGGCUGAAAACUCGCUACAUGGGUCAAACAGAAAGCUUAAAAGGUUAAGACACUCAAUAGCGAUACAAUGUUAAAAAAAAAAUUUAAUAAAUGAAGAACGAAAGUAACAAUAUACUUGUCCAUAUGAAGAUUAAUGAUUUAGAGAUAAAUGUAGAAAAAAUUUUAAAAAAAUUAAAAAAAAUUUGAUAUUUUUAUCUUAACACCCACAUUGAUUAGUAUUAAUACUCCAAUGACAUACCUCACUCACAUUCUACUGGACAUCAAUAGCUUUUUAAAAAUUAUUUGAUGAAAUUUGAAACUUUAAGUUAUACGGUACUUAAUUCUAAAUUCUUUCUUUACUCGAGGAUGAGCAAAGUUCAAAUCAGAGGGUGUGAUAAGUGAUAUAUUUUUAUAUUUAUUGUAAAUAUUUUUAAUAAUUUAUGGUACUAACAUCUUCUUAAAAAUUUAAUUUUAUGAAUAAAUUAAAUUAAAAAAAAUAAUUUUAAAAAAAAUAUGAAAUUAGAGCAUAUUUAUGAAAAAUAGAUAUUGAUUUAAUUGAGCAAUUUAAGUAUCAAAAUAAUGAAAAAUUUUUAAAAAAUUUAAUGUAUAUUUUUUUAAUUUUUCAGACAAAAAUCAGAGUAAAAAUUAAGUCAAAAUAUCUAAAAAAAUAAUUUUUAUAGUCUUCGAUGCACGAUGGACUGGCCGCUCGAUCCACAGAAUUAGGGCGCGGUCCAUCAGAAAUAUUUUGCGGUCCACAGAUGCGGUCCUUGGUGGUAGGAAGGCUUUUUGUGCAAUCCGAUGAUUCACAUUCAUCCCAAUCCAGAUCGAAUGGCUGACAGCAUUCUCGAGUGUAAUAAAGAUUCUUGGGCACGAUCUGAUGGUCCAGAUUUCAUCCAUCACGCGAUCCAACGAUUGAGGAUGCUCUCGACUUUGAAUAGGAGAUCAAAAGCAUGAUUUGAUGGCCCAAAUCUCAUCUGAAGCACGAUCGAAUGAUCAGAAUCGCAUCCGAACAUAAUAAGGAGAAAGAAACUAUUUUUUGGGUUAAUCUGGGCGGUCCAAAGAUGAUCCGAUGGUCAGAAAAAUUCUUAAGGGUUUUAUAUAAUUUUUAAAGAUUUUAAUACUCUUUUUUCUAUCAAAAAAAUAUAAAAAAUUUAUCUAUAAAUAGAGAGUCCAAAAAUAAGCCUUGAGGGCAAAAAAUUGAAUGAAAAGUUAUGAAAAAAAUAGAGAAAAAAAUAUUAAAGCUUUAGGGACCCAAGGAGAAGAAGGAAAAAAGUUGAUUUGCUCUACGGAGUAUGAUGGAAGAAGAAGAGGUCAUCAUCCAUCUCUCUGAUAAAGCUGGACUGAUCAACUUCAGAUCUUUAUUAUAGUUUUAUUUUUAUUUUAUUUUACUAUUUUUUUUAAUUCUUUGUACUUGAAUUUCAAUUUCAAUUAAUGCAAAAUUUAUUUUUUUGUACUUUAAAUUUUUAUCUUUUAUUUUUUGUAAGUAGAUGCUAGGAUCUAGUUAGUAGAUCUUAGUAUCAAUUUAUUUUAUAUACUUUAAAUUUUUAUUUUUAUUUUUAUUGCAAGUAGAUGCUAGGAUCUAGUUAGUAGAUCUUAGUACCUGAUUUAUUUUUCAUACUUUUAAUUUUAUUUUUGACAUAAAAUUACUUUCUUUGAAACUUUAUUUUUUUCUAAAAUCAAAGAUUUUAAAUAAAAAUCUUACCUUCUCUGUAGAUUCGAUUCGACUCGCUACUUUCUAUGUAUUUUUAAUUUUUAUUGAAGUCAGAAUUAGAUUAAUAAUCACAGUAUCCUAACGACAACAUCGCGAUCAUAUCAAUGAUCUACACUCUAAUUAUAUCAUCGCAAUGGCUUCGCCCAUACUUCCAAGCACACCCGAUUGUGAUCUUGAUCGAUCAGCCGUUGAAGGUAAUUUUGCAUCAACCUGAUACUUCGGAUCGAAUAGCAAAGUGGACAGUAAAACUUAGCGAAUUCGACAUAUAAUAUCGUCCAUGCUCGUCAAUGAAGGUGCAAGUUCUAGUCGAUUUCGUUGUCGAAUAUAUAGUAUCUGACAAUAAAUCAAAAAAUGAAACUGAUGAUACAAUAAAGCAGACCGUGACCCCCAAACCUGACCUAAAGUCGAUUUGGGUGCUGCACAUUGAUGGAGCAUCUAAUGUGCAGGACAGUGGAGUAGGUUUCAUUCUUACAAAUUUUGAAGGAGUGGUCACUGAAUAUGCCCUUCGGUUCAACUUCAAAACAUCGAAUAAUCAAGCUGAAUAUGAAGCACUCUUAGCCGGCUUGAAAAUCACUAAGGAACUUGACAUUGAUAGUUUGAAGGUCUUCACCGAUUCGUAAUUAAUUACCGAACAGAUCAAGGGCGAGUUUGAAGCCUGAGAUCUAAUCAUGAUGAAGUAUCUUCAAAAGGUGAAGGAUCUUAUAUCAAUCUUGAAAUAUUUUGAGAUCUUUCACAUCUCAAGAACUGAAAAUGCUCCAGCCAAUAUACUCUCCCGAUUUGCAACUACUUCUUUCAACUCGCUGGGUCGAACAUUCAUAGAAUAUCUCGAACAAUCGAGUAUCGACAAGAUUGAGGAGGUAUUACAGCUCACUAUUGAACCAAGUUGGAUGGAUCCAAUCGUCCAGUACUUAACAAAUGGAACACUUCCUAUGGAUCUCUCAAAAGCCAAAUGACUCCGAUGGACGACCUCUCAAUAUAUUAUGAUGAAUGGUCAUCUCUACAAAAGGUCGUUCCUUCUUUUCUUACUAAAAUAUUUGGGACCUACAGAUGUCGAUUAUGCUAUUUGAGAAGUUCACGAAGGAAUUUAUGAAAAUCACUUAAGGGACAAAUCAUUAGCCUAUAAGAUCUUGCGACAAGGAUAUUAUUGGCCUACCAUGAAGAAAAAUACAGCUGAGCUCGUCCGAAGGUAUGAGCUAUGCUAGAAAUAUGCAAAUAUCCAGCACCAACCGACCAGCCAGCUUACAUCAAUUGUUGCACCAUAACCCUUUGCACAAUGAAAAAUUGACAUACUCGAUCCUUUUCUCCCGACAUCUGUCAGAAAAAAUUCAUUGUGGUUGCUAUCAACUACUUCAUCAAAUGGGUAGAAGCUGAACCUCUGGCACAAAUUAUCGAAAAUAAGAUGGAAGACUUCAUUCAGAAAUCAAUCAUAUACAGAUUCAAUUUGCCAUACUCCAUCAUCAUUGAUAACGAUCGACAAUUCGAUAAUCAAAACAUCAAAGAGUCCUGUACGAAAUUUUAUAUUACACACAAACACACCUCAAUCAGCUAUGCACAAUCAAACAAAGAGGUGGAGGUAACCAACCGAACAAUCCUGCAUGGGCUUAAGACUCGACUAAAUGCAGCUAAAGGCCUCUGGGUGGAAGAGCUAUAUCCAGUCUUAUGGGCAUAUCGAACAACUCCUCGCAUACCGAUGGAAGAGUCAUCAUUCAAUUUAGCCUACCAAACAGAAGCAAUGAUCCCGCUCGAGAUUGGAUUCCCAUCAACAAGGGUCGAACAAUACAGUGAAUCGAGCAAUUCUGAAUGUCAGAGAGGUGAUUUAGAUUUACUCCCAGAAGUCAGACAACAAACUCAAGUUCGGAUGGCUACAUAUCGGUAAAGAGUAGUCCGGUACUAUAAUGCAAGAGUCAAACUGAAGGUCUUUCGAUCAGGAGACUUGAUCCUACGGAAAGCAGAAAUCUCGAAACCUUUGGAUAAAAAAAAACUAUCUCCAAAUUGAAAAGAACCUUACAGAAUAGUUGAAACACUCAGACCAGACGCAUAUCGACUGGAAACACUUGAAGGAUCGACUAUUCUCCAAACAUGGAAUGUCUAUAAUUUAAAGAUGUAUCAUUAAUAAAAUCGCCCAUGUACAUAUUAUUCGAAAUGAAACAAAAUUUUAGAAUUUUAAAAUCACAAGUAUCGAUCGACUUUCAUCAAUCAUCGACUAUAUAUCGGCUUUCAUUGUAAAAGCCAAACUAUUGACUAUAUUUCAACACAGAAUUUAUCUCAAUUUUUUAUUAUAAAAAUUGAUAUUAAUUACACCAGCUUUCAUUGUAAAGGCCGUCGUAUUGACUAUGUCUCAGAAUUGAAUAUAUUUCGACUUUUCACUAUAAAAGUUGAGUGCCGACUAUAUCUCGAUAUUAAAUAUAUCUCGAUUUUCACUGAAAAAAUCGAUCGUAGUUGAAAGAUUAGCAUGCCGACUUAGUCUUAUCUAAGUGGAAAAAUAUUAUGCAAAUACGAUCAAGAUCGGAUUGGAAUUAUAUCGAUUUGGCUACGGUCAGUCCAAGGAUAUUUGGCUUGCGAUCGAUUAUCAAAUGAUAUGACGUACAAACUGAUUAAUCGUCAGACUCAGGAUAUUUGACUUAUUAUUAUUUAUCCUAAUUCUUAAAGUACGUCAAAAGGAACUACGCGAUUAACAGAUGAUUCUACAAGUUUCUAUUGAAUGAUCGGUUCAUUGGUUAAUGUUCGGUAGUUAAAUAAUUUGCAUUGUAGGCACGUACAAUCAGACAGAAGUCUUAACUUAGAAAAAUUUUGUUCAUUCAUUAUGAUGAGGUUACAAAAUUGGAUCGAAAUUCAAUUACAAAUGUCUGAUUACAAAAAAAAAAACUACACCGAUCAAACUUCGUCGUCGUCCUUAUCUCUUUGCUCUAGAGUAGCUUCAGGGAUUUGGAUGACUUCUAGUGGUGUCCGUGUUCUUCUUUCAGCCGACAAUGCAUCUUCUUUGGUAGCUCCGUCUUCUGACCUUGGAGGUACAAUGCUGUUCAAAUUGAGAUUCGGGUAUAAUUUUCUGAUCACAUCUCGGCCAUCUUCAUACCUGACGCAAUAAGAGAUGAAUUCACCUUCGAGGAUCUCUUCCUUGAAUUCUGCUGAAUCUUUGAAGUCUUCGAUUGCUCGACUUAAUGCCUCCCUCUCCGACUCUGCUUCCACCUUCGCCAGCUCAGUAUCGGCUCAUGCUAACUCAGCAUUGGCUCAUGUGGAAGACGACUCUUCUUCGGCCAGCACCAACCUUUCAAGGUUGGCUCAAUGUUGUCCACAUUCAGCUUCGAGUUCAGCAAUGCAUUCGUCACGUUCCCGUCGAAGCCGGUGGAUGGAGUGUUUCUUGCUCUUGAUCUUUGACUCGAGAGCUGAAAUAUUUUGACGAGCUGACUCCAGUUUGGCUUCAGAAGAUUCCAAGUCAUCAGUCAAACGAGAGAUCUCCUGCUGAAGAUUGGCCUCCUUCUCAGCUGCUGACUUGAGCUAUUCAAGGGCAGCCACCUUCUCAGCAUCGGCGACCACCACUUUAUUCAUCCACGACUGACGAAAGUUGCCAAAUUUCUUAUAGCCGACUUCCAGAGCAGACAUGUCAUAGAUCAACUGUAAACAGAAGAUAAGUCAGAUCAGAUAUAUAUAUAUAUAUAUAUAUAUAUAUAUAUAUAUAUAUAUAUAUAUAUAUAUAUAGUAGNNNNNNNNNNNNNNNNNNNNAUAUAUAUAUAUAUAUAUAUAUAUAUAUAUAUAUAUAUAUAUAUAUAUAUAUAUAUGAGGAGGUAAAGCAACUUAUCCCGACUAUCAUCAGGUAGAAAGACAAAAAUAUUUCGAUCACUAUCCUUUUUCUUCGAUUCUCCCAAUUAGUCGGGAGAAUUGCGGCGUGGAGAAGCCGCUUGGCCAAUGUUAGAUUGACCAAGGCCGACUCAUCUCAAAGCACUACAAGAUUAAAAGGAUCGUGUGGCCCUCCGAUGCUGCAUCGUUCGUCGAAGUCAUUGGAGUUUUUCCCCGAUCUCCUAUCAGCGGCCCCACAUUUGAAAGCACGGAGAAACUUGAACUGGAUUGCGUCAGAGAAACCCCUGCCAAACGAGCAAUCGAUGCAGCCGCUGAUUGCUCGGAUUCGACUGCAACCUCCACCUUGGCCCGAAUCUCCUCACUUGAUGGAGCUACCGACUCUGCUAUGGGAGUUCCUCUCUUACCAUCCCAUCUGUGGAUGGCGCAGUGAGAAGUGCUGUCGAGGCUGACAGCACUAAGACCGGCUUAAGAAUCGACGGUACUACGGAUUCCUCAAUUGACGUUGAAGCAGUAGUUGGAGCUUGCGUCAAAGCAGCAACUGAACCCGGUGUUGAAGCAGCAACUGAACCUGAUGUUGAAGCAGCAACUGGAGCUUGCACCGAAAUUGCAACUCAACUCUUUUUCGAUGGUCGAGAAGAUCCAGUCUCAGACGCCGCCCUCUUCCUGACGGCGUGCUGACAAAUGUCAGCAAGCGACACUCGCGCCCUCGACUGCAUGGCUGUAAUCAAAACAAAAGUCAACACAAUCCAGAAACAAAGGAAGAAUAAAGUUGGAAAUUACCGACCAUAUUAUACCUAAGUUGGCGACCGAACUAAGACCGGCGUCAUAGAGAGCCUGUUCGGUCAUAAGCUCCCUCUGUGGCAAGACGGCAAUAUCCUUCGAUCGAUAGAAGUCCUCCCGCUCGUCGACCUCCACCCGACUGUUAUCUUGGGACUGGUUCUUGGAUCGCCCUAGCGAGAAGGAAAGCCCCAAGGAAGAGAGGAAGAAGCAAAUAAGAAUUGGUUCUUCCACCCAUGGAUGGACGAUGGAAGAUCGGUAAUAAAAGAAAGACCUUUUCGGAGGUUGAAGAACCACCAACUCCUGACCUUGGGAUAAGGUCAGAGGAUAAAGAAAGUACGAAAAAGAAAAGGAUAAGGUACAGUCGGCAGUAAUCGAUACAACAGAGAAAAACUAAUUAUUAGUCGGAUCGAAUUCGGUGCCAACUGAGUAGGACAGAGACCGUAGUAAUCCAAAAUAUUUCGGACGAACUCUGAAAUCGAAAAUCAAAAAUUCGUCUGAAGAUCUUCGACAUAGAAGGCCACCUGGCACGAAUGAGGGGCAUUCACUCGACCAUCAGGAUUAGGGGCAAAAAGCUAAUACUGCUCCGAUAUGCGAUAUUACUCUUGGAGCCGUUCGACGUUCGGUUCCAAAAGUGAAGAGACCUCCACUUUCGGGUCUGAUGGAGAGUCGUCAGUCAGAUUCUCCGAUCGACUGUCUCGAGAAUAGGAACCCCUAGCCAUUGAAAAGAAAGAAACUAAAGGAGAUGAAGGACGAUUCGGAAAAGACAGGGGACUUAACCUGAAACUCAAAAGGGAAGACUAGAAAGGAAGAAUCUUUAGGCACUGGAACGAUCCUCUAGCAGAGCUUCCGCAGCAAAAUAGACAAAUGAAAAGUAAAAGUUGGUUGAAAGUGACCUUAUAUAUAUAUAGGAUCCUUCAACGGUCAAGAUCGAAGCACUCAAACCAAGAUCUCGCCAGAUAUUAACACAUAGUGAUAUAUGGGCCAACUAUUGAUCGGACGGUUUGACGCAUCUAUUCCAGAUCGAGCCACGUCACUGCUAUCUGCGUGAACAGCUCCAAUGAAAUGAUGUUCGGACACGUGGCAAAGAUUUACUAGUCAGAAUCAUAUCGUCCGGUAACGAUUCAUCUUUCCAAAACGACACCUGAUACUGACAUCCGAUACUGAAUCAUCCUGUCAAUGUGACAGUCUAAUGAUGAUUCUGUACUCACCAAAACGACAAAGCAGCCAACGCUCAUAUCCCAAAAAAACUAGCAGCCAAAUCGGGGUUCGAUAUCGCAUGAAAAGACUUUCUUCGUUCAACAUGACAAACCGCGUGGUGGCACACGUUAGAUCACCUUGGACUUGGGAGUGGGGGGCAAUUAUUGGGGUAAGUCAAUCGACCCUUGACUUAAGUUAACCAACCCCGAACUUCGACUCAACAAAGGUCGACCGACCGAACAUACAAUUCUGACUAUGCAUCGGCUGACACCGGCUCAUGGUUGGCGAACUAAUUGACACUUGGCUGCUACCGACCAAUAGCAGAACAAUCUCCGACUUGAGACCGUCGGUAUAUCAAAACUACUAGCCGAUGGUCACUCGAACAUUCUAUCGACAUACCAAGAUAACCGAUAUAUAAUAGUCGGCCAAUUUGCUCAACGUGCUGUAACCGUUAUGAACGAUUAUCGACUACGUAUUACGACAAUUACUCGAAAUUAACAACCCACUAACUCCAUAAUUAUGGUCCGAUAAUUUAGCGUCAUAAAAAGUGAGACCACGUACUCGACAGUUACAUCAGAUUCAUCUAUAAAAAGAGAGUAAAGAAACGGUACUGGUAAGAUACUGCUGGUCAGAGCUCUGCUACACUCGAUACUCAAAUCUAUUAUUAUUCACCAAUUCCUGCUCUGACUUAAGCAUCGGAGGAUUUCCAUCGGAUACAACUCCGAUAUAUGAGAAUACUAUUUUGCAGAUGCUCAUUAUCGACGACAGACGAUAAAAAAUUAAUCAUAAUAAAAAUAUAUAAAAAAUAAAAAAAUAAAAAUAUUUUUUUGAAGUACCAUAAUAAAAUCUAAUUUUAAACGAUCAGUGUGUUAACAACUCAAACCUUCUCUCUUUUCUUCAGUCUAGAAUCUUCUCUACCUCGGCAUGUGCUCGUGGAACCCACAAUUCUUUUCUAUAUCACCCCAAUAUUUAAUUUUGCAUCCAGGUAGCUGUCUCCAUUAUGUUACGCCGACCCAGUAAUCCUAUCAUAUCUUAUCUUCGUGCCUUUGUCAAUGCAUUUAGAAUUCUUGUCCUUGUUAGGCAAGAGACGUUUUGUAUAUUCGUAUAUUAUUAUAACAUACAACCCUCGCUAAACUAAUAGGGUUUUAUAGGCCAUCCAGGGCCUUUGCCUCUAGGACCCAUAGUUUGGGAUCUUGAACUUGGACAUGCAGACAUUCUCUGCCAGCAGCUUAUAAUCUAUUAUGAGAUUAGGUUUUUUUUUUUAUCUAGUUGUUUUUCUUAAAAAAAAAAGUUGAUGAGAGCAAUGCCAUGUGAAAUCAAAAAUUUAUAGGUUCUAGUGGUGUGAAUCAUAUUUCUUUUAGCACCAUUAGUUUAAUUAUGACAAAAAUAAAUGAUGAAAUUCAAUAAGUCACUAUUUUAGUUUUCCUGUGGAGGGGGCAUUAGUGAGAUCACAUUCUAGCGAUUGUUUGCAUGGCGUACAUGCAUGAAUCCUAGAUUGGUUCUAGAAUUAAACACGUCUCACUUGCCAAAUAAAACAAAGCAAAUUGCAUCCAAUUUCAAGAUAAGUCUAAAUUUUAUGCAGUCAUCCUUACGAUCCUAGCUAUCUAGCUCUACUUAGUGUGCUCCGGCUUAAAUGUCAAGGUCUAAUUUACUAACUCAACCCUAUCUAGUCGGCCAACUAGAUCUAGACCCAAGACCAAAUAUCCAUCCAUGACUUUGUAUUUUGAAUUAUGGUCAUAUGAAAACAAGACCACAUCCAGGUCCACUUGGCUAAUUUGUACUGUCAAUUAAUAUGCGGUUGCUUUCUUGGUAUCGUAGACUACGAGCGUACGACUAUUACAUUUUUUUUUCCCGCCUAAGAAGAGGGAAGCCUUGUGAUCUUCCCCUUGAUGCAUCGUAUGUCAGUGCAACAUAUCAAUUAUAGUUGCUUGUUUUCGUGAAUCCUAUUCAUAAAGCGCCCAUCUUGAUGCACAUCAUAAAAAUCAACAAUUAUGGUUGACAUGGUGCAAUUUCACAUAGUACACAUGGCAUAGAAUAUUGUUGGUGCAUACAGAACGGUGUCAUUGUCAAGUCACGUGACUACGUCAAAGUUAUUUGAAUCAUUCAUACAAAUCAAAUUGGUUAUUUAUCGAUCUAUCUUAAUCUUCAAUUCAACUCUAGGUCGAUCUGAACAGAUCAGAAUUAAUUUUUGAAAACAUGAUCAAUUCGAUUGUUUACCCAUCUACCAUAUAGGAUAUCGAGCAGGAACCGAUGUAACCGAUAUGACUCUAAAACACACAUGGUUAUCUUACAGCUAUCGUCCAACUCGAUAGCAGCUGUUUUCUAAUCAUACUACAAUUAAUCUCUACAUACGUAAAUAACUCACGAUCUUCAUACAGCUUGUCAUUCUAUUGUAAUAAACUAGCGGCCUAAUAAACUCUCCUAAUGACCUAACAGUCUAAGCAAAUCUCCUUUAUAUAAAGAUAGGUAGAAUGUCCCUCCAGAAGAUAAGUGAGAAUUCAUAAAGCUGAGACUUUAUUAAAUUCCUUUCAACUCUCUUACUGAAGGAAAUAAAAGUCCUCGUUCUGCUGACUCAAUAUUUUUUCUUCUGUCUUUUAAUUUUUUCAUUUCUACCGUUAGUUUUCAAGACUCUGACUGGCUUAAUCAUCAAAAAAAUUUUAAAUUAAAAAAUAUCCUAUCAAUUUUAAAAGUUUUUUUAUAGGGCUAUUUGUGAUUUGCAUCGAAUCGAUCUUCAACAAUAUUUUAAUUCAACCUCAUACCGAUCUCGCCAUGUUCCUUCUGGAGCCUUAUGACAUCAGAUAUAAUCUCCCUCAAGAUUGUGCAGAUGCUCAAUGUUUUACGUGGGCGCGCACUCCAAAAUGCCUACUUCCCACUUUGGCAAGCCGCAAGUUUCUACGCAAUCCAAAUAUUAUAUUAAGUUUUACCUCGUGAUGAAAUGAGGAAGGAGCCAAGAAGGAGGCAUGAUGCGGAACACGGUCAAAUUACCUUUAUUUUAAUGGUAUUAGCACACGUGAGUGUUUCUCUUUUACCUCAACAUCCAAAUACCGGAAGGAGGAGCCCCUCGUUCUCGUCAUCCUUCGUAUGUUUUCUAAGAUAGAAGACAAGUGGAUCCAUAAAGUCUAUGGUCAAAUUCAAACAGGACCUAGACCCGUCAACCUUAUCUUUUCUUCCAGCCCCACACCUGCCCCUUCUCGUGGCUGUUCCACCCGCCCACCCUUCCCAUCCAAAAGUCUCAUUUUCUAAUGAACUGGGAAUCAUCCAACCUUCUCAUGCAAGCAUUUCCACAAGCUUCCUUGUUUCUUCUAGCACGCAACAUCAAUUCCUGCUUGAAGUGUCGCUAUGUUAUUGAUUGUUUGAUAAAGAUGAUGUGGAGAAGUAUGACUAGGAAUAAGAGUGCUUUGCUUGAGUGAUACUUUGUCAAGGACUAUAAUAUAUAAUCAAUUAGAAUCAUGGGGUGAUGACUAUAAUAGGCCUCCGGUUUCUUAUGCCGUCUUUGACCACGAUACCAUAGGAGAAGGUCCAAUAACUAGCAUGUCUUUUUAGCGACACAAAAACUAAUAUGUUAUCUCACUUGCUUGAAUAACUUUUCCUCCAAAUUCUUGCUCCUUUUUUUUUUUCCUUUUUGGGAGGUGGGGGAAGCGGGGUUUCUCAGCAAGGUGGCUAAUGUUAAAAUUUUGUUCAACUUGUUUUAGAAAAUACAUUCAUCAAUCCUCUAUUACAAAAUUUACGGUUCUGACAAUCACCUCUUAAUAAUGUAGUAUGAAGUUCUUAUUUUAUUUUUUUUAUUCCAUUUCUAUAUGAAAAAUAUGAAGAAAUUGAAAGCAUUGUUGUUAAAGAAGUUCGAUUUAUAUUUCUUUGUUUAAAAAGAUCUAUUUAGUGCAAGAUUAAAAGGUAAUUAGGUUUGAGUAGUUGGUUAUCUAUACUAGUAUAUAAUGUGAACUUUUGCUAUUUAUCCCAAAGUGCUAUGAUCAUCAAUCCAUCUAAACCUUAGAUAUUGUGCUUUACAAACAUUUUGCUUUGGCAAAUGAGAGCGACAGUAUUGAUUUUUUUUUUUUAAUUCUUGGGUCUUAUUCUUAGAUAUUGUCAUGAUGAUGAUAGUUACAACCCAUAUAUGUCAUAUUGUUAUCAUUACUCUAUAUCUUUUGAAGUCUCAUCCUUUUUGUAAUUAUCAAAGUAGAUGUUAACAUUGCUUAAUACAUAGCAUUAAGCGCAACCUUUGAUUUGUUUAAGAGAGAAUGGUCAUCGAGAAUGCGGCACAGCAUAUAAUCCGAUGAUCAUGAUCAAUAGAAACAUCAUUUUAACAACUACAAAACUAUUUAUCGAGAGUGUGUCAAAAGUACUAUACAUUAAUGAUAAGUACUGGAAAUCAAUGUAACAUAAUGUAACAUGAAAUUACAAGUAUACUAUAUCUUUGUCGCUUUGUUAAUACAUAACACUCAAUGAAAGUCGAAUCAUGAUUCAUUUCAUAAAUCUAUCUCUCUAUUAUAACUUAUCGUUUGUGCGGCGGCACUUGUUCACUUUUCUUAAUUUCAAGCUUGAAAUUGACACCACGGGCACUACAAAGUCAAUUUAAAUGUUUUCUAGUGGAGUACAAAAAAAAUUCUUAAAAAUCUUUGAUCAAUUUUGUCAAACCCUCGUAACCUCAAAAGUUUCCCAACCUUUUGAGCCACAAGAGAUUUUGCUAUAAUUUUAACAUUUUUAGAUAAGAUCAGUUGCAAACAAUUUUCAUGAAUCAUAACUUACAAGCCUUGGAGUAUUAUCACUACAGUUUUCUUUUUAGAUAAGUUGAAUGAUCAAAACUCUAAAUCAUACCAGCAAAAUAGGCUCCUUUCUGUCAGCACAUCACAAUUCCACCAACAGUAGACCUUCUAGAAACCCCUUAAUGUUCAUGAAUCUUUCAAUCCCCUAAAAGAUCACGUGCAAAUAUUAUUACUAAUACAUUAAAUGUGCAUUAUUAAAAGAACAUUGAUAGGUUGUUGGAGCUUUCCUCAACACCCUACAGUUUAUAAUUAUUGUGUGAGGACCAAGCAACGGGAACUAGAUGUACAACAUUAAACGCAUAUAAAACGUUACGGGGACAAUGGAUGGGGACUCGAAGAGAGAGAGAAGAAAAGGCCGGGUUGGAGUAAAUAGUAAUAGGUCGCAGCAGCGCCUGCAAUGCCUUCUAAAGGCCAGCUAUUAUCGUGGUGUAUUAACCCGACAGCCAACAGCGUACUGGUCCAAUAAAACAAACUCCAAAAAGAUCGAACGGGUCAAUUAUUUGAUAAAUGACGACGUGGCCUAAGUGUGGUUAGGGUUGUUACGGUGUCGGUGUGUGGGGUGGAGAGCGGAGGGAAUAUAGUUCCCAAAUGAGAGAAGCGACAACUCAAACGGGGGAGAGGGGCGAUGUAUGCGGGGUGGCGGUGGUGGUGGUCCCCCCAUUACCUCACCUUAUCCUUCCAAGUCGUCCAGAAACAUUGCAUCUUUCUUUCCCACUUGUCAUCGCCAAUUCCUCGCCGGCUUUCUGACCUCGCAUUGGUGUCCGUUUGCUGAUGGUUGGAAUUCCUCCUCUUAUCCUAAUGGAGAUAUUUUUUUGAGAGCUGAUAUCAAUUAAAUAGAAAAAUAAAAAAUUAUUCCAUUAUAUUUUUAGCUAGAAAAAAGAAUGAGACAUUUUUGUACGGCCUUGAUCCAUUUUGUUUAGAAGUUCUGAAGGAUUUUUAAAUCAGUUAUUCAAGUUUAUAAAAUUUAGUAAUUUUAUCAAAAAAUUGAACAAGUUUUAACCUUUGUUUUUAGAGAUUUUGAAUGUAUGUUAUGUAAGAUGUUUAACUAGUAGACAAAUAUGAAUGGACAAGUGACAUGGGAAGUCAAUGGAAUUCUUCUUAUGUUGCACAAAAUAAAAAAUAUUAUAUUUGCAAACAAAAAAAUUAUAAUUGUAAGAAAUUCAGCCGAUUGUAGUUUUGCUUUGCAAAGUUUUCAUUGGAUGAAGUAUAGAUUAUAUAUAAUAUAAUGUUUCAUCUGAUUUGUUAUUGAACAGAUAGAUUAGACGAAUAUAUAUUUAUGAGACAUGAUCUUGAAUAUCAAAUAAAUUGUAUUCAUCAAAAUAGGACUCUAGAAUUUUAGUGAAUCCAACCUCGUUAAAUCUAUGCUCAUGAAAUUUAACAGACUAGCUAGCCAUGUGAAACAUUGUUAUCUCAAUAUUCACUCAUGGUUGGACUACAAAAUUAAUCUUAGAUUGCAUUCCAGGCUUCUAUUGUCCCUUCGAUUAUGCGUCAGCUUGCUCAUACUAUUAUUGUGCUUGGCUCCCCAGACAUUACUGUAUCCAAAUCCUCGCACAUUCUUCUUUGCAUAUUUAGCUAGUAUCUCAAGCUCUGCUUCCUCUAGUUCUACAUCCAUAAAAAUCACAUAUUGAAGUGCUCCAAAGAGUGAACUUAUUACCUCCUCUUAUUUUCAAGUUGUUGGUCAUUUAAACCACAGCUAUCACAAAUGAACUGUACAUGGGAAUUCUAAUGGAAAAUUGUUAAAAUGAAUGUAGAGAAAUGCAUGUGAAUUGAAAAUUACACAUCCAUACAGAGAAAGUAUGGCAACCUGUAGCAGAUAGCGUCCGAUGUCAUCUCUUAUUUUCCUUGUGAGAUUUGGAUGUGACCCCAAUGCCUUCUCAUUUUUCACAUUGAGAGAGAGCAUCGAAGGUCUUGUCCUAGCAAGCUACAAUUUCACAAACCUAGCAUAGGGACCUAAUUGUGGGGCUCAAAUAUGUGACAUUUGAUCACAACAUUUAACCAAACAUACAGUAAAAAAGAAAAUCUAAUUUGCUAUUGAUGAAGGAUGAUGAAAUCUCCACUCGGCCUUGGUUCUCCGGGGAAAAAAAGAAACAAACAAACUUACAGCGGAUUUAUUAUGUGGUAGGCUCUUUCUUCCGCCAGUUUCUUCGCUGCUUCCGACUGCCGAUGAAAGCGGCGAGUAAAUAAAAUCAACGGCCAAGUCUUGACCAGGAGACCCAAGUAACGACAAAGCCUAGGCUGACAUGGCGCGCCGCUGACGACCUCACUCGUGACGUCACGUUUCCAUGAGUCCUUCGCCCCCUUCCUUUUAAUUACAACACCAAACCAAUUGAACAAAAACAGUACAAACAAUUUUUUUUAAAAAAAAAAUCACUUUACCAAGAAGCAAUUACAAUAAUUAAAAAAUUGUAGUUCCAACACGUGCUUGCACUGACGAAAUUUCAUGGAAGCACGGGCUCUUUACCCCACCCUCACCCUACUCGCACUCCCGUAUAUAAAUACUUCACUCCUCUCCGCUCCUUUCCAGAAUUCUGCUCACCUUCCGACUUCCAACCCACUCCACACCUCAGAGUCGCCUCUUAUCCUCAACAGCGGUGAGCAGAAAUGUACCCGCAGGAGCCGAGCCCCGGGGCGGAGCUGGCCGUUCUCGAGUUUGUCCGCCAACACCUCCUCGAUGACCCCGCCCCCUCGGCCGGGGUCCCGUCCUCCGCGGUGACUCCACCUUCCGUUUACUGCCGGAGUUGCAGCUUUGGCAGCCUCGUCGCCGCCCAGUGGGGUGACCUCCCCUUCCGCCUCGACGACUCCGACGACAUGGUCGUCUAUGGCGCCCUCCGGGACGCCUACUCCCACGGCUGGAACCCCUCCCCCGAAGCCGGUCCCGUCACCGCCUCCGCCGUUGUCGUCAAAUCGGAGCCCGUUACCGAGCUGCCUCCACCGACGCCGGCGCUAGCGAUUCAGGUGCCUCCGGCACAGCCCGCGCCAGAGGCACCGGCAGCGCCGGCGGCGCCGGCGAAGGGGAAGCACUACAGAGGGGUGCGGCAGCGGCCGUGGGGGAAGUUCGCGGCGGAGAUCCGAGAUCCGGCGAAGAACGGGGCGAGGGUUUGGCUGGGGACGUUCGAAACGGCGGAGGAGGCCGCCAUCGCCUACGACAAAGCUGCCUAUCGGAUGCGCGGCUCCCGCGCGCUCCUCAACUUCCCGCUCCGGAUCAGCUCGGAGGCGGCCGCGGCACCGGCGGUGGUGUCUCCGUCGAAGCGGGCCUCGCCGGAGCCCUCUUCCACCUCCUCCGCCUCUUCCUCUCCCCGCUCCCCCUCGUCGUCGUCGUCUUCCUCGUCGGCGAAGGCGUCGCCGAAGAGGAGGAAGAAAGGGGAGGCCGCGGCGGCGGCGAUGGCGAUGGCGAUGGCGAUGCCUCCGGUAGCGGCGGCCCCCAUGCCUCUCUCUUCUUCUCCGGUUCCGGUUCAAGCGCAGGCCGGUCUGGGUUUCGGGAACCGGACGGAGAGUUUCUCGGUUGGGCCUGUCGUCCAAUUUAC